rnacentral:rRNA from 1 species
AUUGAACGCUGGCGGCAUGCCUUACACAUGCAAGUCGAACGGUAACAGGUUAAGCUGACUAGUGGUGAACGGGUGAGUAAUGUAUCGGUACGUGCCCAGUCGUGGGGGAUAACUGCUCGAAAGAGCAGCUAAUACCGCAUACGACCUGAGGUUGACAGCGGGUGAUCGCAAGACCUCGCGCGAUUGGAUCUGUCGAUAUCAGAUUAGGUAGUUGUUGAGUUAAAUGGUAACCAAGCCGACGACCUGUAGCUGGUCUGAGAGGACGACGAGCCACACUGGGAGUGAGACACGGCCCAGACUCCUACGGGAGGCAGCAGUGGGGAAUUUUGGACAAUGGGGGCAAGCCUGAUACAGCCAUGCCGCGGGCGGGAAGAAGGCCUGCGGGUUGGAAAACGAUGUUGUCAGGGAAGAAAAGGUUCUGGCUAAUAACUGGGAAUCAUGACGGUACCUGAAGAAUAAGCACCGGCUAACUACGUG